rnacentral:rRNA from 1 species
UAGAUACCCUAGUAUGAAUUAUUGUUGGAUUAGUAUUACUGAAAUUUAAUGAUUUUGGCGGUUAAUUAUAAAUUAGAGGAGCUUGCUUUAAUAGAAUUAACUCUUUGGAUUUUAUAGUUAUUUUGUUUAUUUAUCUCCGUUAUUAGAAAUAGUAGUUUGUAAAAAAAUGAGUUUUUUAUUUCAGGUCAAGAUGUAGCGAUUAAUUUAUAUAGUUAGCUACAGUUAUAGAGUAUAUGGAUUUAUUUAAGUAUUAUUUAAUGAAAUUGAAUUUAAGUGUAAUAUUAUUUAGAAAAGUGCUAUGAAUAAGUGUGGUUAAUGUACAUAUUGCCCGUCACUUCUAUUGGUAAAAUAGGAUAAGUCGUAA